rnacentral:rRNA from 1 species
GAGUUUGAUCCUGGCUCAGGAUGAACGCUGACAGAAUGCUUAACACAUGCAAGUCGAUGGGGAAGUGGUGCUUGCACCAUGGUAACCAUGGCGGACGGGUGAGUAACGCGUAAGGAACUUGCCUGCGGGACCGGGAUAACAGCAGGAAACUGCUGACAAGACCGGAUAAGGUCAUGAAGCUGCAUAGCUUAGUGAUGAAAGGAGACGCCUGCGGAGAGCCUUGCGUCCUAUUAGCUAGUUGGAGGGGUAACGGCCCACCAAGGCGAAGAUAGGUAGCCGGCCUGAGAGGGUGGACGGCCACAAGGGGACUGAGAUACGGCCCUUACUCCUACGGGAGGCAGCAGUGGGGAAUAUUGGACAAUGGGGGCAACCCUGAUCCAGCAAUUCUGUGUGCACGAAGACGGUUUUCGGAUUGUAAAGUGCUUUCAGCAGGGAAGAAGGAAGUGACGGUACCUGCAGAAGAAGCGACGGCUAAAUACGUGCCAGCAGCCGCGGUAAUACGUAUGUCGCGAGCGUUAUCCGGAAUUAUUGGGCAUAAAGGGCAUCUAGGCGGCCUAUCAAGUCAGGGGUGAAAACCUGCGGCUCAACCGCAGGCCUGCCUUUGAAACUGACAGGCUGGAGUAUCGGAGAGGUGGACGGAACUGCACGAGUAGAGGUGAAAUUCGUAGAUAUGUGCAGGAAUGCCGAUGAUGAAGAUAGUUCACUGGACGGUAACUGACGCUGAAGUGCGAAAGCCGGGGGAGCAAACAGGAUUAGAUACCCUGGUAGUCCCGGCCGUAAACGAUGAUUACUGGGUGUGGGCAGGAAGACUGUCUGUGCCGAAGCAAAUGCGAUAAGUAAUCCGCCUGGGGAGUACGGCCGCAAGGCUGAAACUCAAAGGAAUUGACGGGGACCC